rnacentral:rRNA from 1 species
UUGUGGCCUUUAGACACACUACCAACGGCGGCGCGAGCGUAAGCCUCUUGGAACAGAGCGUCUACGUGGGUGAGAAUCCUGUAUUUCGCUUGAUUGCCGCCGUGCACGGUACUUGCUCUCAGAGUCACGCUCCUCGGAAUUGGAGCGUAAAUUGGGUGGUAAAUUUCAUCUAAAGCUAAAUACAGGCUCGAGACCGAUAGCAAACAAGUACCAUGAGGGAAAGAUGAAAAGGACUUUGAAAAGAGAGUUAAAAGUGCUUGAAAUCGCUGAACUGGAAGCGAAUGGAACUAGUGCUCUGGUUGAGAUUGCUGCAAGUGGCUGCGACAUCUGGGCUCUGGAACGCAAGUCCUUUGUCUGGUUUGAAGUAGUUGCUUGUAAUGUGUCUCAGCUUGAACAUCAGCGUCUAUGCAUACGUGAGGAUGGCCCUUAGCUCAUGCUGUGUUGCUGGGGCGAUAYYCUUGUGCUUUGGGGAU